UACAGAGGGGGCAAGCGUUGUUCGGAAUUACUGGGCGUAAAGGGCGCGUAGGCGGCCUUCUAAGUCGAACGUGAAAUCCCCGGGCUCAACCCGGGAACUGCGUCCGAGACUGAAAGGCUUGAAUCCGGGAGAGGGAUGUGGAAUUCCAGGUGUAGCGGUGAAAUGCGUAGAUAUCGGGAGGAACACCAAUUGCGAAGGCAGCUCGCUGGGACGUCACUGACGCUGAGACGCGAAAGCGUGGGGAGCAAACAGG
rnacentral:rRNA from 1 species